AAUAGAUACCCGGGUAGUCCACGCCGUAAACGAUGAGUGCUAAGUGUUAGAGGGUUUCCGCCCUUUAGUGCUGCAGCUAACGCAUUAAGCACUCCGCCUGGGGAGUACGGCCGCAAGGCUGAAACUCAAAGGAAUUGACGGGGGCCCGCACAAGCGGUGGAGCAUGUGGUUUAAUUCGAAGCAACGCGAAGAACCUUACCAGGUCUUGACAUCCUCUGACACUCCUAGAGAUAGGACGUUCCCCUUCGGGGGACAGAGUGACAGGUGGUGCAUGGUUGUCGUCAGCUCGUGUCGUGAGAUGUUGGGUUAAGUCCCGCAACGAGCGCAACCCUUGUUCUUAGUUGCCAGCAUUCAGCUGGGCACUCUAAGGAGACUGCCGGUGACAAACCGGAGGAAGGUGGGGAUGACGUCAAAUCAUCAUGCCCCUUAUGACCUGGGCUACACACGUGCUACAAUGGAUGGUACAAAGGGCAGCAAAGCCGCGAGGCCUAGCCAAUCCCGAUAAAACCAUUCUCAGUUCGGAUUGUAGG
rnacentral:rRNA from 1 species